UACGUAGGGCGCAAGCGUUGUCCGGAAUUAUUGGGCGUAAAGAGCUCGUAGGCGGUCUGUCGCGUCGGCUGUGAAAACCCGAGGCUCAACCUCGGGCCUGCAGUCGAUACGGGCAGACUAGAGUGCUGUAGGGGAGACUGGAAUUCCUGGUGUAGCGGUGAAAUGCGCAGAUAUCAGGAGGAACACCGGUGGCGAAGGCGGGUCUCUGGGCAAGUAA
rnacentral:rRNA from 1 species